AUGAUGAUGACACGGGCCUCCAUGGGGGCCAUGGAGGGCGCGGCGCUGGACGAGGUGGUGCGGCGAUUGGUCGAGGGCGGCCGCGGCGGGCGGCAGGUGCAGCUGUCCGAGGCGGAGAUCCGGCAGCUCUGCGUCGACGCCAAGCGGGUUUUCCUGUCCCAGCCCAACCUCCUCCGCAUCCAGGCCCCCGUCAAGAUCUGCGGUGAUAUCCAUGGUCAGUUUGUUGAUCUUCUAAGGUUGUUUGAUUUGGGUGGUUAUCCUCCAACCUCAACCUAUGUAUUCCUCGGAGACUACGUAGAUAGAGGCAAACAGAGCUUGGAAACUAUAUGCUUACUGCUGGCAUACAAAAUAAGGUACCCUGACAAGGUUUUCCUGUUAAGGGGGAACCAUGAAGAUGCAAAAAUCAACAGAGUUUAUGGUUUCUAUGAUGAAUGCAAGAGGAGGUUCAAUGUUCGACUGUGGAAGAUAUUCUCUGAUUGCUUCAACUGCCUGCCUAUUGCAGCACUCAUUGACGACAAGAUACUGUGCAUGCAUGGUGGCCUUUCACCUGAACUGACUAACCUGGACCAAAUAAAGGAUAUUGAGAGGCCGGCUGAGAUUCCUGAUUAUGGUCUCCUGUGUGAUUUGCUUUGGUCUGAUCCUAGCCCUGACGGAGAAGGGUGGGGUGAGAGUGACAGAGGUGUUUCAUGUACGUUUGGUGCAGAUAUGCUUAUAGAGUUUUUGGAAAAAAAUGAUCUUGAUCUUAUCUGCCGAGCCCAUCAGGUGGUAGAAGAUGGUUACGAGUUCUUUGCACAGCGGAGAUUAGUCACAAUCUUCUCAGCUCCAAAUUAUUGUGGGGAAUUCGAUAAUGUAGGUGCUCUGUUGAGCAUAGAUGAAAAUCUAAUGUGCUCAUUUCAAAUCUUGAAGCCAAAUGAAACAGGCACACCGCGUGUGAAAAGACAAAUCCCAAAUAAGCCAGCAAUUGGGGGAAGUGCCUGA
rnacentral:rRNA from 1 species